UCUCCUUUUCUAAAAUAUGAUCUGUCAACCGAGUUUCCUGUGACCUCACACCAUUCAUAAAAAGAAAAUGUCCUCUAGGCUUUUUGAGCAAAUCUCUUACAUGAGAUUUUACAAUCCCUUACCCCUUUAUUGGGAAACAGUGGUCCCUGUUUCAAAUCUUGGUUUCAUGGUAGAGCCGUUGUAUAAGCAGAUCUGGUAUAAGUUAAGACAGCAAGGCCAAUUCUUCUCUUGCUGGUGUCUUCUGUGGUGUUCAAGUUCGUGAAGAGGGUAUUAGUUCAGACAUCACCCUAAUUCAAGCAAGAUCUUGGUUCAAAUUACUAGGUGACUAAUAGCAAUGAAUGCCAUUGUAACUGGUGCAUCAGGUCUUCUAGGAUGUGCUGUGGUUACUGAAUUUAAAAGAAAUUGGUGAAAAAUCCUGGGACUUGCUCUAACUAGAAUCAAAGAUGAUUUAAUGCAAAUCGAUCUUACUGAUAUUGAUGCCGUUUCUGCCAUUGUUAGAGAAUUCAAACCCAGCCUAUAUAAAUCCAGACGUUUCCUCCAACACGACAUUGCAUUCGUAUUUUUUGAACGGUAAAACUGUCUCUAGCACGAGUCUCGUAAAAGAUGGAAAAUGUCAAAUUGAAUAAUGACAGCAUAGUCGAUGCUAUGCAUACAGAGUCUGGUGCUGCGUUACGAGAGGAUACUCCUGCAAGUCCAAUGGAACCUGCAUCUUGUGCUGCGUUAAGUGAGGAUACUCCUUUAAGUCCAAUGGAACAAAAAUCUUGUUCUGCAUUAAUGGAAAAUGAAUGUGAUGCGUUACGAGAGAAAAGUGCUGCAGUCAAGGCGAAAUCAUAUAUUGUGCUGCGAUUCAUCAAAAAUCGCAAAUUUACAUUAAAAUUAAAUUUUUCUAAAAAAAUCCAUUUUCUCAAUUCGGAAAUGCCUCAAAUCAUCUACUAUAAAGAUGUAGAUGGGACUGUAAUUGAGUAUCUACCCGUUCAGAAAAAAACUGAAAUGUAAAUGACAAUUUUUUCUACAUUUUUUAUUUGUAUAUGUUAUAUUUCUAUAUUUGUAUGUAUUGCAAAAAUUAUAUUUGUAUGAAAAAUGUAAAAAAAUAA